rnacentral:rRNA from 1 species
CGGAGUAACGACGUCGUGCACCUACGCCGGCCGACAGUGGGAUAAUCCGGAGAAAUCCGGUCUAAUACCGCAUGACGCGGGAAGGGCGCAUGCCUUUUCCGCCAAAGGAGGCGACUCCGGUGCCGGCUGGGCACGCGUGACAUUAGCUAGUUGGCGGGGCGACGGCCCACCAAGGCGACGAUGUCUAGGGGUUCUGAGAGGAAGGUCCCCCACACUGGUACUGAGACACGGACCAGACUCCUACGGGAGGCAGCAG